UACAGAGGUCUCGAGCGUUGUUCGGAUUCAUUGGGCGUAAAGGGUGCGUAGGUGGCACUGUAAGUCGGGUGUGAAAUCCUGAGGCUUAACCUCGGAACUGCAUUCGAUACUGGCGUGCUUGAGGACUGGAGAGGAGACUGGAAUUCAUGGUGUAGCAGUGAAAUGCGUAGAGAUCAUGAGGAAGACCAGUGGCGAAGGCGGGUCUCUGGACAGUUCCUGACACUGAGGCACGAAGGCCAGGGGAGCAAACAGG
rnacentral:rRNA from 1 species